GAUGAACGCUGGCGGCGUGCCUAAUACAUGCAAGUCGAGCGAACAGAUAAGGAGCUUGCUCCUUUGACGUUAGCGGCGGACGGGUGAGUAACACGUGGGUAACCUACCUAUAAGACUGGGAUAACUUCGGGAAACCGGAGCUAAUACCGGAUAAUAUUUCGAACCGCAUGGUUCGAUAGUGAAAGAUGGUUUUGCUAUCACUUAUAGAUGGACCCGCGCCGUAUUAGCUAGUUGGUAAGGUAACGGCUUACCAAGGCGACGAUACGUAGCCGACCUGAGAGGGUGAUCGGCCACACUGGAACUGAGACACGGUCCAGACUCCUACGGGAGGCAGCAGUAGGGAAUCUUCCGCAAUGGGCGAAAGCCUGACGGAGCAACGCCGCGUGAGUGAUGAAGGUCUUCGGAUCGUAAAACUCUGUUAUUAGGGAAGAACAUACGUGUAAGUAACUGUGCACGUCUUGACGGUACCUAAACAGAAAGCCACGGCUAACUACGUG
rnacentral:rRNA from 1 species